GAUGAACGCUAGCGGGAGGCUUAACACAUGCAAGUCGAGGGGUAACGAUGUAGCUUGCUACAGGCGACGACCGGCGCACGGGUGCGUAACGCGUAUGCAACCUGCCUUGUACAGAGGGAUAGCCCAUGGAAACGUGGAUUAAUACCUUAUAGUAUCACUGAAACACCUGUUUUAGUGAUUAAAGUUUCGGCGGUACAAGAUGGGCAUGCGUAUGAUUAGCUAGUUGGUGAGGUAAAGGCUCACCAAGGCGACGAUCAUUAGGGGUUCUGAGAGGAUUAUCCCCCACACUGGUACUGAGACACGGACCAGACUCCUACGGGAGGCAGCAGUGAGGAAUAUUGGUCAAUGGGCGCAAGCCUGAACCAGCCAUCCCGCGUGCAGGAUGACGGCCCUAUGGGUUGUAAACUGCUUUUCUAUACCAAGAAACGUGUCUACGAGUAGACAUUUGCCGGUAGUAUAGGAAUAAGCAUCGGCUAACUCCG
rnacentral:rRNA from 1 species